AACCAAAAAAAAAACCCAUCAACCCAUGUCCCCCUCCCCAAAAACCCAGAUCCCCUUAUCUGAGUUCUCUCCCACCCAACCCUCUCUCUCUUUCGCCUCUAUCUUCUCUCUCCCUGCAACCUGUGUUGGAAAUGUGCCCUAAAGCCAACCAUGUGAUGAUACUUUACGGACAUUUCACAUGUUAAACUAAUCUAGUUUUACAUAUAAAGGGCAUAAAUUAUUG
rnacentral:lncRNA from 1 species